rnacentral:rRNA from 1 species
GAGUUUGAUCAUGGCUCAGAUUGAACGCUGGCGGCAUGCUUUACACAUGCAAGUCGAACGGUAACAGGGAGCUUGCUCCGCUGACGAGUGGCGAACGGGUGAGUAAUGCGUCGGAACGUGCCGAGUAGUGGGGGAUAACGCAUCGAAAGGUGUGCUAAUACCGCAUACGAACUGAGGUUGAAAGUGGGGGACCUUCGGGCCUCACGCUAUUCGAGCGGCCGACGUCUGAUUAGCUAGUAGGUGAGGUAAAGGCUCACCUAGGCGACGAUCAGUAGCGGGUCUGAGAGGAUGAUCCGCCACACUGGGACUGAGACACGGCCCAGACUCCUACGGGAGGCAGCAGUGGGGAAUUUUGGACAAUGGGCGCAAGCCUGAUCCAGCCAUGCCGCGUGUCUGAAGAAGGCCUUCGGGUUGUAAAGGACUUUUGUCUGGGAGCAAAUACCCGGUGUUAAUAGCGCCGGGGGCUGAGAGUACCAGAAGAAUAAGCACCGGCUAACUACGUGCCAGCAGCCGCGGUAAUACGUAGGGUGCAAGCG